UCUCUCUCAUCUACACUAUAUAUAUAUUAUGACGCCAAUAUCUGUGAAUUCAAACGACGACGACAACAACGCAAACAGCAACCAAAAGAUCAAGUUCCUCUACAGCUACGGUGGCAAAAUCCUCCCUCGUCCCACCGACGGCAAGCUCCUCUACGCCGGCGGCCUCACCAGAGUUCUCUCUGUUGAUCGGUCCAUCACAUUCCCAGAGCUAAUGGUGAGAUUCUUAGAGCUAUGCGGAUCCUCGAUGACUUUGAAGUGUAAAUUGCCGACUGAAGACCUAGAUGUGCUGGUUACAAUCACCUGUGACGAGGAACUCGUUAACCUCUUUGAAGAAUACAGUCGAUUCUUGCUGUCUACAAAUAAGGACCUGAAGAUAACGGCUGUGUUGUUUCCCCUGAAAUCUCUCCAAAAAAUCUCUCCUCCUCCGUCCACCGCUUCCAGUCUCAAUUUCUCCUCGGCCAUACACCCGCCUCCUGUCACAGGAUUUUGGUGUCGGAAUUCCUCGCCGGCCUUUGGGUUUCCGGCGGUGUGAGGAAAGACGGUGGCAAAGUCCGUUACUAAGCAGUCUAUAGCUCUUAAAGACGGAUAUGACUCGUUCAAAUGAGUAGCUGGUGAUGAAUCUUAUUGUACGUCCCGUGAAGUUACAUGAAAGGACUAAGACAUGAGAAGAUCUCGAUGCCAUUUUGAGAGCGCAAGCAUUAGGCAAGGAAUGUACGAGCUUUUGGGGAUUGAACGUUCCAAUCUUGAAGUCUGGAAAAAAAAGGUCAUUGCGUUUUCCUGGUUGAACAAGAUUUCCUAAUAUGGUUAUGUGAAAUAGGUAAAAGAUACGCAUGGUGUCCCAAGAUCACUGAAUAUUUACUCGAACGAAAUACGUUUGUCAAGUAACAGCUGGUAUGAGUCAAUAAACUUCAAAACAAAUGUAUAAUAGUCGAUCAACCAAAUUCUAUAGUUAUUA